rnacentral:rRNA from 1 species
GUCUACGACCAUACCACCCUGAACGCACUCGAUCUCAUCUGAUCUCAGAAGCCAAGCAGGGUCGGGCCUAGUUAGUACUUGGAUGGGAUUCCAUCUAGGAAUACAGGGUGCCAUAGGCU